GAGAAAUCAUAAACAUACAGUCAGGGACUUUUACUACUGCUUUCGAUGAUCUGAGACGUCUCUCCUCCUGGUCCUGGUAUGGACCGGGUGUAUCUCGAUCUCGACUUCGGAUUUCCCGACGAUGGAGCUAGAAAAUAGUGGUUUGACUGUGAAAUGUAGACUCCAAACUAUUACCUUCAGUUUACUUGCUACAUUAUCGGAGGACCACGAAAAAAAUGCAGCUACUACCCUGAAUUGAAAUUGAUAAAUUUUACCAAAUGGAUCGAAUUCGGGAAGGAUACAAAUUUUACCAAAUGGAUCUAAUACGGGAAGGAUAAAAGUGUUCUGACAAUUAUUUAAAGCUCUUAAAACUUCCCACUGCUAAUUAAAGGAAUGUUUUUUCUGGUGAGCUAAUAGCAAGCAAUGGGUAAUGGGUGUACUGUAAUGGUUCUGGUGAACUGGUUGCAAUUUGAUUAAGGGAGGUAUUGUAUGUGAAUCAUUUAUAGCGAAUUCGAAACCUGAAGGGAGUAGAAGGCGCUGUUAAUUGAAGCAGAUACUGUUUUUCUCAUGUUAAUU